rnacentral:lncRNA from 1 species
AAAAUGAAGAAAAAAUCAAAGAAAUAACACAACACCUUUGUAUUUCCGUUAUUCUCUCCUUUUUUGCGUUUUUCUCUUUCGUUUACUUGUUCUUUGCGUCUGUUUUGCCGUUUGUUGCGCAGAUUCGGCCAACUGGGGAUGUACGUGGGACACGUACGUGCGCAAAGGGUGGUGGUGCAGGGCUGAUGUGCGGCGGCUAGGGUUGAAGGUUGUAUGCUGCUAGGGUUGCUGCUGGAAUUUAGUUAGUGGGCUGUUUAGUUUGGGU